GUUCGGGUAUUUUGCUACUUCGGUUCGGAUUUCGGUUCGGUUUUUUCGGAUCGGGUUCGGGUGCCACUUCGGAUAUCGGGUAAAGUGCCCACCCCUACUUAAAAUCAUUUCCUUGAAAAUCCAUUAGUGAAUCUAAAUGCCUCGCUGACCUAAAUUCAUCUGCAGCUGGGCCCAAGUUGCAAUAUCUCGUUGGAUCGCCCAUACAUUUACUUGUUCACCUGGCAACAAAGUCGUUGAUUAGGGUUUUUUUUUCACACAAGAUAUUAUAUCAAUGUAAAAGAAGCUUUAACAAGACAGUGGUACGCAUAUAAUAUGAAUUAGGUACGUCAUAUAGCACUACUUACAUAUUCCUAAUUAGGUCCCAUUGAUUAGUAAAUUACAGCGUGAUUCAUCUAAAAAUGGUACCCAUCAACCUUUUGUAUGAUAAUGGUAAUAUUAUAUGUUCAUGUGAUAAAGAAAAGGGAUCAUUUUUUAUCGGUCAACAAUUUGAAUGUUAGUACUGUAACCGGGGCUUCUAACUCUAGUGGUAAAGGGCUUACAGUUGUGAGUAUCACCACCUGGGUUCGAAUCCCGGCCACUGAAGAAUUAACAUUUCGGCAUCGCCAGGGACAGAGGACCGACACGUGGCAACACGUGACUAGUCUGGAUCACUUCUGUGGGGCCAGGAUACCUCUGUAUAAUUCAAAAAAAAAAAAAGAAUGUUAGUACUGUGCUCCUUAACUAUUAGAGAUCACUACCAAAAAAAAAAAACUAAACUCCCAUUUACUCCCUCUGUAAUGUUUUACGAAUUAGUUACGCGAAUCAUGGUUCAUCACAAAAUGGCUAUUAAUCUAUAGAAUUGGUAAACUUGACACAUGCAUACACGUUCAACGUCUUUUUAUGGUUGUUUUAUUUAAAAGAUAUAUCAAGAUGUAUUGUGUUUGAAGUAUUUUCUUUACGGGUGCAAACGUUGUUGAUACGACUACGAAAACUAGCUGAUAGGAGUACAAACUCAAAUUCUGGCUACUUUAAAGAAACGAUUCCAACAACCGGUUAAAUUGGUGCUAUGAUGUCUUUGACAUCAUUGCAGAAGAUAAACAACUUAAAAACAGAAGCAAAAAUUGCAAAUCCAAUUAGAUUAAUAUGUAAAUACAAAAUAGUGAUCCCAUCAAGAACAAAGUAGAAGAGUGAGAUUAGUCUACAUGGCAAGAGUAAAACACACUGUGAACUCAAAGGAUUCACUAGCAAAGAGUAACAGACACAACAACACAGCUUGUUUUAGAAACUAUACAAAAAGCUACUCAUAAUGUCACCCUUAACGUCACUAUAAGAAAAAUGGGCUUUGAUAGCAUUGAAGAUAACAUUUUUUGCCUUUCUGCUAUGGUUGACAUACCCGUUAGUUUUAGAUAGCGUUUGUAUAUUUAGAACCGCUAUGAUAGAACUGUAUAUUUAAAAACGCUAUGCUAGCGUAUUUUUAAUAGCGCAUUAUUAAAAACGCUAUCUUUGACUUUUUAAUUCUCUAAACCCUAAACUUUAAACAUAACUUCAAAAUCUAACUAUUUUGAUAUCAAAUCUUAAAUUUAACCUCAAAUAUUAAAUAUAAAUUCAAAAACUAUUUCUUUUUCAAUAAUUAAUCUUAAAUCCCAAUACCUCAAACCUUUAACCCCCAAACCCUAUACUCAAACCUUUAUUCUAAACUCAUAACUUUAAAUCUAAAAUCUAAAUUCAAAAAAAAAAUCAAACUUAAACUUAAUUCUUCAAAUUAAUUCAAAUUUAUUUUCGAAUUUUAACUUAAAGUCUUAACCUUGAACUCUAAACCUUAUAUACUCAAAUCUUAUAUAUCAUAAUAAACCUCAAACCUUCAAUAUACGCAUUUAGUUAUUAAACUAAAUCAUAAAUCACAAAUCUAAUAUUCUCAAAGUUAGACACCAAACUUUGAGCAUACAUUUUUAAAAAUUAAUAUGUUUAAAUUUUAAACCUUUAAACUAAUUUUAUUUACUAUACUCUUGUAUUUUAAACCUUUAAACUAAUUUCAUUUUACAUUUAAAGUAAAUCAUAACUUAUAAAUAAUAUUAAAAUUUUCAGUCUAUUAUUUGAAACAUUGAACCAAACUAUAAUUACAUUAAUUAUAUAUAUUUUUUGGUCAAAAUUAUAUAUAAAUAUUUAACUUAAUUAUUAUAUUAAAUGAAAACAGUUUUUAAUGGAUUAAUUUUGGCCUUUGAUUGAUUUCAAUCCAAUGGCCACACAUAUGUUUGGUUUAUCUUUUUUCUUCUUUCUCAUUGGUCAAUAUCUUAAGCACAAGGAUAGCAAUCUUAACCACUGAAUAUUUUUGAUCCUAUGGCUAGAAAUCACACAUCUCAUAUCUCAUAUCUCAAUCUCUUUCUUCUUGUCUCACGUUAUCUCUCUCUCUCUCUCUCUCUCUCUCUCUCUUUUUUGUUACAGAUCUAAAUCUGAUCUCAUAUCUUUUUUAAUUCUUUGGAUCUCUAUCUUCCUCAAUCACCACCACCACAACCACCCGUUUGUUUUCGCCGUCCCAGCAUCACAACACCACCACACGACCGUUCGUUCGCCGUCCAAGCAUCACCACCACCACACAACCACGGGAUGGAGGAAGCAAGGCAAGGCAGGUAUGGCGGCUAGAGGAGGAAGAUGACGGCUUCAGAUUCAGGAAGAGGAAGCUGACGGCGAGUUGGUGAGGAGGCGACGAGAUUAGGUCUAGAUGGAUGUGACAUUUGCCUCCUCUCUGCAACUUGCCUCUCAAAUCCCAGGAUGAAGAAGAAGAAUCAUGGCUGGAAAAACACGAAGACGAAGGUGGUGGUGCGGCCGGUAGAUGAAGAAGACAAUGAAGUGGUGGUGUGUUUAGUUAGUAAUUAGGUUAAAGCCUGGUUUAGUUUUUCGUUUAUUUAGUUUGUUGGUUUAUUAUUUAAUUAGAUUUUUUUUUGUAUUUUUGUAAACCAAUUUCAUUAUAGAUAAAUUUAAGUAAUAAAGAAAAUUUGAUUCUA